GCUCCUGUCCAAAGCAUAAUGCGCCUCAGGCACUGCCCUCUCAGCCUCCAAGGCCCUCCGAGAGCCCCGCCGCACCACCUCCCCAGCACCUCCCCAGCCGUAGAGCAAGAAUGACUCCAGCCAUGAGGCCAAAGGUCUGCAAAGGAGAGAGUUCUGGAGCAGGCACUCAGAGGGCCACGGGACAGUCUCCCAUGUGUCUUUCCCAGGAAGUGCACAGACAUCCCAGCACCUGAACAGUGCUUAACAAAAUGCAAGGCACCUCCCAUGUAUGUACUUGUUGAAGAACUGGAUAUAUAAGCAAAUAUAUUUUUAAUUCUUCUGUAA